rnacentral:rRNA from 1 species
AUUGAACGCUGGCGGCAGGCCUAACACAUGCAAGUCGAACGAGUGGCGGACGGGUGAGUAAUGUCUGGGCAACUGCCUGAUGGAGGGGGAUAACUCCUGGAAAAGGUAGCUAAUACCGCAUACCCUCAGAUGUGCCCAGAUGGGAUUAGCUAGUUGGUGGGGUAACGGAUCACCAAGGCGACGAUCCCUAGCUGGUCUGCGAGGGUGACCAGCCACACUGGAACUGAGACACGGUCCAGACUCCUACGGGAGGCAGCAGUGGGGAAUAUUGCACAAUGGGCGCAAGCCUGAUGCAGCCAUGCCGCGUGUAUGAAGAAGGCCUUCGGGUUGUAAAGUACUGUCAGCGGGGAGGCGUUACCCGCAGAAGAAGCACCGGCUAACUCCGUGCCAGCAGCCGCGGUAAUUC